AUUGAACGCUGGCGGCAUGCUUUACACAUGCAAGUCGAACGGUAACAGGCCGCAAGGUGCUGACGAGUGGCGAACGGGUGAGUAAUGCAUCGGAACGUGCCCAGUCGUGGGGGAUAACUACUCGAAAGAGUAGCUAAUACCGCAUACGAUCUAUGGAUGAAAGCGGGGGACCGUAAGGCCUCGCGCGAUUGGAGCGGCCGAUGUCAGAUUAGGUAGUUGGUGGGGUAAAGGCUCACCAAGCCAACGAUCUGUAGCUGGUCUGAGAGGACGACCAGCCACACGAGGACUGAGACACGGCCCAGACUCCUACGGGAGGCAGCAGUGGGGAAUGUUGGACAAUGGGCGCAAGCCUGAUCCAGCAAUGCCGCGUGCAGGAAGAAGGCCUUCGGGUUGUAAACUGCUUUUGUACGGAACGAAACGGCUCUGGUUAAUACCCGGGGCUAAUGACGGUACCGGAAGAAUAAGCACCGGCUAACUACGUG
rnacentral:rRNA from 1 species